rnacentral:rRNA from 1 species
ACUACGGGUGGCAGCAGUGAGGAAUAUUGGUCAAUGGGCGGAAGCCUGAACCAGCCAAGUAGCGUGCAGGAUGACGGCCCUACGGGUUGUAAACUGCUUUUAUACGGGAAUAACGCGCCUUACGUGUAGGGCUUUGCAUGUACCGUAUGAAUAAGGACCGGCUAAUUCCGUGCCAGCAGCCGCGGUAAUACGGAAGGUCCGGGCGUUAUCCGGAUUUAUUGGGUUUAAAGGGUGCGUAGGCCGCAUGUCAAGCGUGCUGUGAAAUGUCCAGGCCCAACCCGUGCCUGGCCGCGCAAACUGGCGUGCUUGAGUCGGCGGAAAGCAGGCGGAAUGCGUGGUGUAGCGGUGAAAUGCUUAGAUAUGACGCAGAACCCCGAUUGCGAAGGCAGCUUGCUGCAGCGGAACUGACGCUGAUGCUCGAAAGCGCGGGUAUCGAACAGGAUUAGAUACCCUUGUAGUC